GACGAACGCUGGCGGCGUGCUUAACACAUGCAAGUCGAACGAUGAAGCCCUGCUUGUUGGGUGGAUUCGUGUCGAACGGGUGUGUAUCACGCGAGUAUCCCCUCCCUUACUCUUUGAUAUGCCUGCGAAACUGGGUCUAAUACCGGAGAUAGGCGCCCCUCGUACGGGGGGGGUUGGGAAGAUUUUCCGGUUUUGGAUGGACUCGCGGCCUAUCAGCUUGUUGGUGGGGUAUUGGCUCACCAAGGCGCCGACGGGUAGCCGGCCUGAGAGGGUGACCGGCCACACUGGGACUGAGACACGGCCCAGACUCCUACGGGAGGCAGCAGUGGGGGAUAUUGCACAAUGGGCGGAAGCCUGAUGCAGCAACGCCGCGUGAGGGAUGACGGCCUUCGGGUUGUAAACCGCUUUCGGUAGGGAAGAAGCGAAAGUGACGGUAACUGCAGAAGAAGCACCGGCUAACUACGUG
rnacentral:rRNA from 1 species